rnacentral:rRNA from 2 species
UUUGGAGCCAGCCGCCUAAGGUGGGAUAGAUGAUUGGGGUGAAGUCGUAACAAGGUAGCCGUAUCGGAAGGUGCGGCUGGAUCACCUCCUUUCUAAGGAA